GACGAACGCUGGCGGCGUGCUUAACACAUGCAAGUCGAACGGAAAGGCCCUGCUUGCAGGGUACUCGAGUGGCGAACGGGUGAGUAACACGUGGGUGAUCUGCCCUGCACUUCGGGAUAAGCCUGGGAAACUGGGUCUAAUACCGGAUAGGAACCAUUUUUAGUGUGAUGGUUGGAAAGUUUUUUCGGUGUAGGAUGAGCUCGCGGCCUAUCAGCUUGUUGGUGGGGUAAUGGCCUACCAAGGCGGCGACGGGUAGCCGGCCUGAGAGGGUGGACGGCCACAUUGGGACUGAGAUACGGCCCAGACGCCUACGGGAGGCAGCAGUGGGGAAUAUUGCACAAUGGGCGCAAGCCUGAUGCAGCGACGCCGCGUGGGGGAUGACGGCCUUCGGGUUGUAAACUCCUUUCGCUAGGGACGAAGCUUUUUGUGACGGUACCUAGAUAAGAAGCACCGGCUAACUACGUG
rnacentral:rRNA from 1 species